rnacentral:rRNA from 1 species
GACGAACGCUGGCGGCAUGCCUUACACAUGCAAGUCGAACGGUAACGCGGGGCAACCUGGCGACGAGUGGCGAACGGGUGAGUAAUGUAUCGGAACGUGCCCAGUAGUGGGGGAUAGCCCGGCGAAAGCCGGAUUAAUACCGCAUACGACCUAAGGGUGAAAGCGGGGGAUCGCAAGACCUCGCGCUAUUGGAGCGGCCGAUAUCAGAUUAGCUAGUUGGUGGGGUAAAAGCCUACCAAGGCGACGAUCUGUAGCUGGUCUGAGAGGACGACCAGCCACACUGGGACUGAGACACGGCCCAGACUCCUACGGGAGGCAGCAGUGGGGAAUUUUGGACAAUGGGCGAAAGCCUGAUCCAGCCAUGCCGCGUGCGGGAAGAAGGCCUUCGGGUUGUAAACCGCUUUUGUCAGGGAAGAAAAGGCUCGAACUAAUACUUUGGGCUCAUGACGGUACCUGAAGAAUAAGCACCGGCUAACUACGUGCCAGCAGCCGCCGUAACAC